rnacentral:misc_RNA from 1 species
UCCCGUCAUCAGCAGUGUGCAGCAGUCGCUACAGACGGUAGCAGGUAGAAGGUUUUAUGCUGUUGGCGGUGCUGGCAGAGUGAUCGGGUAGCUGCUGAAGUAUUUUGUUAUUUUUGUGCAAAGUUCCGUAUUUUUUAAAAAGUAGCGACAGAAGAGGAACUGAAUCGAUAUGGGAUCAGAACAGCAGUUUUGUUUGAGGUGGAAUAAUCAUCAAAGCACUUUGGUUGCUGUUUUUGAUACUUUACUGGAGAGUGGAACUUUGGUUGACUGCACUUUGGCAGCUGAAGGCCAAUACUUGAAAGCGCAUAAAGUAGUUCUUUCCGCGUGUAGUCCUUACUUUGAGCUCCUGCUGAGUCAGCAUUAUGAGAAACACCCGAUCGUUAUUCUUAAAGAUGUGAAAUUCCAAGAAUUGAAAGCUAUGAUGGAUUAUAUGUAUCGGGGUGAAGUGAAUAUUUCUCAAGAUCAAUUAGGAGCUUUAUUGAAAGCCGCCGAAUCUCUGCAGAUAAAGGGUUUAUCGGAUAGCGGUGGCGGAGGUACAGAGAGGGAAGUGGAACCUAAGAGGAGAAAAGAAUCGGUUCCACCUCCUCCCACACCAGCAAGAACGCCACCUAUUCUACAGCAUUCGUCGUCGGGCCUCACUAUCGAGCAUCGACGAACGGCGCAGCCAUCUCAAGUUCCGCAAGUUAUUGAUUUACCCGAGGAUGCCCCGCCGCCGAUGCCGUUGCAGAAGAUGGCCACGACGAGGGAGGGCAGCAUUUCGCCCGUCUCACGUAAACGGAAGAAGCAUAGACGCCGAUCAAGUUGUGAUGAGAACAGUUUAGGGGCACCUGGUGUUUUACCAUCAACUGACAAUCACGAAACAAGUAGCUCGUGUGAACUUCCACCCCAAUCGCAGGUACCUCCUGCUCCAAGUAUACCCGCCACCAUAACGCCGGUUACGUCGACGCCAAUACCCAAACCGUCGUUAGAUACCCAGUUAAGUCAUACAACUGAGGAGAAAAACAGUGACUCUGAGAUUAUGAGCAAACCUUUGGCCUCAGUGCAAGGUGCUGUAGCCUCCCCACAGACAAUGCCAAUUGAACCUGAACCUGUUGUGCAUAAAGUAGAGCCACAGACUGAACCUCUAUUAGAACCAAAGUCAGAGUACCUGGAGGAAGUGAACGAUGACAGUGUGGAGGACUUGACUUUAGAUGAUGACAUGGACGAUAUGGAUCAGCCUAGAGCGGGUCCUUCGCAUGGUGGGGAGGGUUCCAGCAGUCAAGGAACAGGCUUUGCACCGUGGCAUGUAACUGCAACUGACAGAUCGACGGAUGAAGUCUUCAUGGCUGCGCAGGAAGCGGUUGGUGCUCAUAGGGAUUCUCAAGAGGUCUGGCCACUGUAUCGCAGACUGGCCACCUUCUCCAGCCGGUUGACUACACUAUCCUCAGACAUAGGUUGUUCUAGCAUGUUGAGUUGUCCGCGUUGCGACCGAAAGUACUCGGUCACCUACACACUUGAUCGACACAUGCGGUAUGAGUGUGGAGUGGAGAAGCAAUUUUGUUGUGCAGUUUGUAUGAAACGAUUUAGUCGGAGUGAUGUUCUUCGUGCACACCAACGUAAAGCAGGUCACUUACCAGUUGAAGCUGGCUGGAUGGGCUCUCUAUUAGCUUACAAUCGCAAGUGAUUUUUAAUGACACUUCACAUACGAAUGAUUGCAGCAAAUGGUAACAUGAAUUUUGAAGGUCUGCAUUAUCCUGUCACAUAACCACUAAUUUACUUAAGUUUUAUGGUGCAGUAAACUUUCUAAGCUUUCAUUGGUAAGAAAAUAUUUUACAGUUGUUGAAGAUUCAUUUAAACUGAUCUGUAUGUAAGUUGGAAUUCUGGUUGGAAGUAUUCCAGGGGUCCUACACAAAUGAUGCUUGUACCAUGUACUCUGAUCCAUUAUAGAGGUGGAGGCCUACCUAUUGUGCAGCUGGUGCUACAGGUGCCAGUGAAGAUGAACAUUAGUCUAACUCUGUGCCUCACAUUAACUUCAUAACACAUCCUGAAAUUCAAAAUUUUCAAAUUCACAGGUGAAACAUUGUCAUUUCAUAUCAAGGAAAUUACAUCAAACACCAACUGGAUGUGAUUAAGCCAUACCUGGAUGCCUAAGUGUUUUGAUGACUUACCAAUGAAUUUCACACAUUGUUUACAGGCAUAAGUAUGUUGUGGAGGAAGUACACGAAAUGUGUGUGUGUGUGUUGUGCUUGCUUUACAGAUAGCAUCAUCACAUUAUAGGCAUAUCCUUCAUAAAUCUAGGUUCUUAAAGGGCAAGUUGAAUGCCUAAAAUGUGACAGAAAAGUCACAUACUGAUAUCUUGUCAUGUAUUACAUUGGAACAACUGGGGAGAUUUGAAGCGGUGUGCACAGGUAUAUUUUGAGAAAUCGCUCUGCACUAAUCUGCUGCAUUCAUGGAGAGCCAGUUGGUGAUUGGGUGUGAACUGAACUGCUGCCAUUGCCACACCAAACUUCACUUCAGCUAUUGAAAGUGCGGCAUUUGGUGUUCCAUUGUGUCUUUUCAACGUGUGCCUUCAAGUUGGAGAGCGUAUUUCCUAAGCAGACAGCCUAUUCUAUGUGGACUAGAGAUUUCCAGCUCAUGUCAGCAUGUAGAGAAGUUUGUUCGCUGCAUUUCGUAGAGGAUGUACACAUAGGGUGGUGUAGGUAGUGUGUGUUGCGAAGGACUUGAAACUGUGAACACUUCUGUGACUUAGUGCCAUCUGUGAAUGAAGAUAUCUUUAACAUUGAAAUAAAUGGAAACUUUGUACUUUACUGAGAGAGAAAUAAUAUCUUAUUUUUCUAUUA